rfam:Serratia symbiotica str. Tucson genomic scaffold scaffold00209, whole genome shotgun sequence.
GGGGCUGAUUCUGGAUUCGACGGGAUUUGCGAAGCCCUAGGAGCAUGCCGAGGGGCGGUUGGCCUCGUAAAAAGCCGCAAAAAAAUAGUCGCAAACGACGAAAACUAUGCACUAGCAGCUUAAUAACCUGCUCAGAGCCCUUUCUCCCUAGCCUCCGCUCUUAGGACGGGGAUCAAGAGAGGUCAAACCUAAAAGAGAUCGCGUGAAUGUCCUGCCUGGGGCUGAAGCGUUAAAUCCAAAUCAGGCUAGUUUGUGAGUAGCGUGUCCAUCCGCAGCUCACAGGCGAAUGUAAAGAUUGGACUAAGCAUGUAGUGCCGACGGUGUAGUAAUUUCGGACGGGGGUUCAAAUCCCCCCAGCUCCACCA